CCUACGGGAGGCAGCAGUGAGGAAUAUUGGUCAAUGGGCGCUAGCCUGAACCAGCCAAGUAGCGUGAAGGAUGACUGCCCUAUGAGUUGUAAACUUCUUUUAUAUGGGAGUAAAGUGCAGUAUGUAUACUGCUUUGCAUGUACCUCAUGAAUAAGGAUCGGCUAACUCCGUGCCAGCAGCCGCGGUAAUACGGAGGAUCCGAGCGUUAUCCGGAUUUAUUGGGUUUAAAGGGAGCGGAGGCGGGUUUUUAAGUCCGUUGUGAAAGUUGGCGGAUCAACCGUAAAAUGGCAGUUGAUACUGGCAUCCUUGAGUACAGUAGAGGUAGGCGGAAGUAGUGGUGUAGCGGUGAAAUGCUUAGAUAUCACGAAGAACUCCGAUUGCGAAGGCAGCCUGCUGGACUGUAACUGACGCUGAUGCUCGAAAGUGUGGGUAGCAAACAGGAUUAGAUACCCGUGUAGUC
rnacentral:rRNA from 1 species